rnacentral:rRNA from 1 species
CCUACGGGAGGCUGCAGUGAGGAAUAUUGGUCAAUGGGCGCGAGCCUGAACCAGCCAAGUAGCGUGAAGGAUGACUGCCCUACGGGUUGUAAACUUCUUUGAUAAAGGAAUAAAGUGAGGCACGUGUGCCUGUUUGUAUGUACGUUAUGAAUAAGGAACGGCUAACUCCGUGCCAGCAGCCGCGGUAAUACGGAGGAUCCGAGCGUUCUCCGGAGUGAGGGGGUGGAAAGGGAGCGUAGAGGGGUUGUUAAGUCAGUUGUGAACGUUUGCGGCUCAACCGUAAAAUUGCAAGUGAGACUGGCAGUCUUGAGUACAGUUGAGGCAGGCGGCAUUCGUGUUGUAGCGGU